rnacentral:lncRNA from 1 species
CUCUUCAUCCCCAGUGAUCUGAAACCAAUGAUUUUGACUAUUUAAUCCUGUUCUUCAUCCCUCACUGAACUCCACCUGCCAUUCUAUCACUAUGGAAACCACUGAAUAACUCCAUUCCCUACUGCCUAUUCCUUUAUUCUCAUUCCCAUCAAUUCAACCUUCCAACAUAUUCCACUCUAAAUGUGCUCUCUGGAAUGCUUACUCCAUAGGUAAUAUUUGCAUAAGGAUAUGGACUGGACAUGAGAUUUCUCCCAGAUGAAGAAAUCCCUCCAGCAAUGCAGUUUGUUUAUGGCUGAUUAGUUUCAUGGCCCACAGCAUACUGCCUCAAAUUUGUGGAUUUGAAUCCUAUGUGGAAUCUUACAUGAAACAAAAUUUUGAUUAUGAUGCUCCAAAAAAUUGUUUGCCAGAAUUUUUCUGUCUAGCAAUGGAGGAAAAAGAGCAAUCAAGGCUUCAGCUGACAACCUGAAUGGGAGGUUUUUAGAAAGAUGAGGAUGCUGCUUGUUGAAAACCUGUGAACCUCUGCUCUUUUGGAGAAUGGCCUAGCUUUUGCUGAGAAGGUAAAAUCCCACAAAUUGAAGGACUUGGAAUAAAUGAUCUCUAAAAUCCUAUGACCUUAACA